rnacentral:rRNA from 1 species
GACGAACGCUGGCGGCGUGCCUAAUACAUGCAAGUAGAACGCUGAAGGAGGAGCUUGCUUCUCUGGAUGAGUUGCGAACGGGUGAGUAACGCGUAGGUAACCUGCCUGGUAGCGGGGGAUAACUAUUGGAAACGAUAGCUAAUACCGCAUAAGAGUAGAUGUCGCAUGACAUUUUCUUAAAAGUUGCAAUUGCAUCACUACCAGAUGGACCUGCGUUGUAUUAGCUAGUUGGUGAGGUAACGGCUCACCAAGGCAACGAUACAUAGCCGACCUGAGAGGGUGAUCGGCCACCCUGGGACUGAGACACGGCCCAGACACCUACAGGAGGCAGCAGUAGGGCAUCUUCGGCAAUGGACGGAAGUCUGACCGAGCAACGCCGCGUGAGUGAAGAAGGUUCUCGGAUCGUAAAGCUCUGUUGUAAGAGAAGAACGAGUGUGAGAGUGGAAAGUUCACACUGUGACGGUAUCUUACCAGAAAGGGACGGCUAACUACGUG